AUUGAACGCUGGCGGCGUGCUUAACACAUGCAAGUCGUACGCGAAAGGGACUUCGGUCCCGAGUAAAGUGGCGCACGGGUGAGUAACACGUGGAUAAUCUGCCUCUAUGAUGGGGAUAACAGUUGGAAACGACUGCUAAUACCGAAUACGCUCAUGAUGAACUUUAUGAGGAAAGGUGGCCUCUGCUUGCAAGCUAUCGCAUAGAGAUGAGUCCGCGUCCCAUUAGCUAGUUGGUGGGGUAACGGCCUACCAAGGCAACGAUGGGUAGCCGAUCUGAGAGGAGGAUCGGCCACACUGGAACUGGAACACGGUCCAGACUCCUACGGGAGGCAGCAGUGGGGAAUAUUGCGCAAUGGGCGAAAGCCUGACGCAGCGACGCCGCGUGAGGGAUGAAGGUCUUCGGAUCGUAAACCUCUGUCAGAAGGGAAGAAACUAGGGUGCUCUAAUCAUCAUCCUACUGACGGUACCUUCAAAGGAAGCACCGGCUAACUCCGUGCCAGCCGCCGCCGUAA
rnacentral:rRNA from 1 species